CCUACGGGACGCACCAGUGGGGAAUAUUGCACAAUGGGCGAAAGCCUGAUGCAGCGACGCCGCGUGAGGGAUGACGGCCUUCGGGUUGUAAACCUCUUUCAGCAGGGAAGAAGCGAAAGUGACGGUACCUGCAGAAGAAGCGCCGGCUAACUACGUGCCAGCAGCCGCGGUAAUACGUAGGGCGCAAGCGUUGUCCGGAAUUAUUGGGCGUAAAGAGCUCGUAGGCGGCUUGUCACGUCGGGUGUGAGAGCCCGGGGCUUAACCCCGGGUCUGCAUCCGAUACGGGCAGGCUAGAGUGUGGUAGGGGAGAUGGGAAUUCCUGGUGUAGCGGUGAAAUGCGCAGAUAUCAGGAGGAACACCGGUGGCGAAGGCGGAUCUCUGGGCCAUUACUGACGCUGAGGAGCGAAAGCGUGGGGAGCGAACAGGAUUAGAUACCCGUGUAGUC
rnacentral:rRNA from 1 species